AGGAAAAAGUUUUAAACAAAUUCCACGAAAAUUCUCCCCUUCUCUCGACUUGCCAAUGCCAGCUGUAGGGCACCCUCCCGCCAUAGCUUGGCGAGUGGCGACGUCACCUUCCUCGUCGAUCUCGACGCUUAAACGACAGGAUCCCGGCGAGCUGGGAUGACUCCUCCACAACCUGCUACAAUCAAUUGAACGGAGAGCUGUCGGAGGAGAUCGGAAACUUGACGGAGUCAAUAAUUUUAGCGGCAGGAUACCGGAACAAAUGUGCCACUUCUCCAAACUCGAGUUCUUCAGCUCCACAACAGCUGCAUCACGGCCAUGACUGCAUGAAGCGUGGGACUUAACAGCCCCUUUUUUGUUGCCAUAAGAUGAAAAACACUGUCUAACACCCUGGUGGCCUUGAGUGCAGCUUCGCUAUGUUCAAGGAAUCAUUCCCAGGUAACAUACCAUUAUUCAUACAUUUAAUCAGAAAAUGCCUCUCAUUGCUGAGGCUUUUUUUUUAAGAGAAGACUAUGCAUGUGGUUUGCGAUUUGCAAUGCCUCCAACUUUCUGGUACACAGAGGCACGCCGGUGUGUAGGAUCAAUUGCAGAUACAGAGCUAUCGUCAAGAUUGUAAGGAGCACCAGGGAUGUAGUUGUAGACCGCGAGUGGCGUCCUCACCACAUGCGUAUCAUCCAUCCAGUAGAUCGCUGUUGAGGUGAUUGGCUGCUGUGAAAUGGCUGGUCCUGUCACAUUAACAGUGAAACUUUGGGUUUCUCCAACUGCUGAAAAUUUUAGGACAGCGGGUUCAAUUGUAACGUUAAACGGCAAUGGCAUUGAAUAGCCAAACAUUGCUCCGAAGUUGGUGAUAGCAACGUAGGUUGAGUUUGCUGCACCAACAUUAGUCACUUUUCUGGUGAAGGUGGCUGCAAUCGGCUGCCCAUCUUCGACGUAUAGCGAGAAUGAAGGGUAGUUGAGAUCCCAUGCUCUUCCGGGUAAUAUACCAUCGCAAGUGCUGUUGUCUCCUGUGACUAGCUUGAGAGUGGAAGUAUUGUAGCCCUGUUUGCAGAGGAAGUUGAUGUAAUCUGCUUCUGAUGCAUUGAAUACUAGUCCAGGAUCGAUUGCAGCAGCCGGGUUGAUCUGGCCCGAACCAUAAGCGAAUUCAAGAUCCUCACUUUUUGUUGAGUCCAUGACAUAAGCUGAUCAUCAAGGAAGAUAAUAAUCAUGAACAAGAAUGUCAUCAACUCUUCAAAGAUAUUGUUUGAUAGUAUGAGUGGAGAUGAAGUGAUUCACCUGUGGUCAUGAGAGCUGAUUUAAUGGCAGCUGGCGACCAUUUGGGGUGAGCAGCUUUGACGUAGGCAGCAGCACCACUGGCAUGAGGGCAAGACAUAGAUGUGCCAGAAAUGAUGUUGAAGAGUGUGCUUCUAGUGUCGUCGUAGUAGAUUGUAGAUGGUGAUACGGGAGACCAUCCAGCCAGAAUGUCCACACCAGGGGCUGUGAUAUCAGGCUGGUAUUCGCAUAGUAUAUAGGAAACAGUUUAAACACAAAAGAGAAGAGCAGAAAAGAAAAGAAAAAGAUAUAUUCUGAUGAUGAAUUAUUAUGGCAAUGAUCACCUUGAGAAUGUCUGGGGAGAUGGGACUUGGCCCUCUGGAAGAAAAUGAAACAACAUUCGGAGCCAUGGCGUCUUUCCAUGCAUCGGUGAAGAAAAUGGUUGCUAUGGGAUUCCUGAAAUGGGAAUGUGUCAUGCAAUUUGUAAAAUGUUGGUGAAUUUGAAAAAUGAAGGGCACACAGCACUCACUCUGUGCUUCUAAUGUAUUCCAGAACGCUUUUCCCAUCGGAGGGGCUGAUGAGUGAAGUUGGUAGCGGCCAGCUGAAGGCGACAUCGAGAUUUUCAACAUUUACGUCCGACAUGAUAUUUCCAACACCGUUAGCCAGAAGAACAGCAGAACCAUCCCAGAUUGUGUCACAGUAAACAAUUUUACCGGACACUAUCUCGGCGUUCAUGGCUCCAUUUAGGCAAUAACCAGCGAUUUCUGGAUUGGCACCGGCAGUGUAGUUCGCAGCUUCUCCUCCCCAUAUUAAUGGGUACGAAGUCCCAUUGAGCUCAAAGGCAUUGAUGUUGAUUCCCUUCAUUUAUUGGAGUUCAAUUUGUUAGAUUGAGAAGAUCAUUCAAUUUUUUAGGAAUGAUUUAAUUUGUGUAUGACUUACAGUGAAGAUUUGGCCAUUUCCAAGUUCCAUUCUGGCAACAAAUUUUCUGUCAAUGGUGCUGGCAGCAACUGUGAGACUCCAUGGAGAAUAGUUGGAAACUGUUACAGGGAAAGGACCCGAAUUUCCAGCUGAGUUUGAAGUAAGGAUUCCAUUCUUCAUGGCGUGGAAGGAUCCAAUCGCGAUAGAGUCAUCAAAAUAAUCAAGCGGCCAGUCUGAUCCCAACGAAACGGAGAUGACAUCAACUCCAUCUGCGAUUGCAUCAUCAAAGGCUUUAAGAAUAUCUGCAUCACUGCAACCAUCUGACCAGCAGACUUUGUACACUGCAAUUCUUGAACUGGGGACACCUCCUCGUGCUUUUCCUGCUGCUACACCGAAGUAGCUUGCAUCUACCUCAACCCCUGCAGCAGUUGAUGCUGUGUGUGUUCCAUGUCCUUCUGUGUCCCUUGCUGAGGGGACGUCUCCAUUAUAGUACUGGUCAUCACUGUGAUAGAACCGUGCUCCAAUGAUCUUGCUGCACUCAUAAUGUCAAGUGCCUGCGCAGGUUCCCUUCCAUUUAGUUGGUGGAGAACUGAAACCUGUGUCGUUGAAACUCGGAUGCUCUGGCCAGACUCCUAUGGAGAUGGACAGCAGAGGAAAGCAAGAAUUUCAGACAAAUAUUCCUCAUGAAAUAGAAACAACUUGUGAUGUUAGUUACCACUAACCAGUGUCAAGGAGGCCGAUAACAACAUCUGAUUCAGGUGCUGCUUGCAGCUUGUCUGUGGUUAACUCACCUGAAAUUCUGGUGGCUUCCUCGUCUGUGAGCUUGGCCGCAAAUCCAUUGAAACUUCUUCCAUAACUGUGGACCAGCGAGUCUUUGGCUGCUGAGGCACUGAAUCAUGAAACAGAGAUGUUUUCUAGUUAAAGAUGCUUGGAAGGAUCAAGUCUCCUCUCCACUAGUAAGGUCGAUCUCCCAUGUAGACUACAUGAAGCUGCAAAGAGAACCGCUAUUUAGAGAGAGGGAGAGAGGGAGAGAGAGAGAGAGUUGAGGAAUUCGGCAUACCUUCCUUUCUAGGCAGUGGCAGUUGAGCACAAGGGCUGCAAGCAGCAAAGGAUAGAGAAGUGAAAAGAGGCCCGUUUUUGCCAUUUUGAAUGGACUCAGUUGGCUAGAUCUGAUGAUUUGAUCUUCUUAAGACUUGUGGUUUAUAUAGGAAUGGGUUUGAUGAUUGUUUCCUCCGCAUGGUUUGAUGAUCUUAACUGGCAAUGAAAUGCAGCAGGCUUCCUGUCUUGUUUUGAUAUUGCAGCCUGUAAUUUCAUCGAAUUCACAGAAAUUCUUGUUGAUUCGUUAAAUAUAUUUGGAUGAUUUC